UUUGAUCUCCCUCUCCCUCAAUCUCCCUCUCCCUCAAUCUCCCUCCUUUACUUUUCUGAUGAUUUGAUUGUAAGGACACAGGAUCUCUCAUCUUCUAAGCUUCAACCCACGCCCCAAUUUCUCUUUCCCAUCUUCCAAGCUCCGAAAUCUUUCUCUCUCUCUCUCUCUCUCUCAUCUCUUCCUAACUUUCUCUAGUCAUCGCCUCUGGCUAAACCGCCGGAUUUUCAUUGGGAUCCACCCUAAAUCUUUCGCCAUUCUCACCUUAUAGCGAGCUUAAUUAGGUUGGCAGUUGGAGAUUCGUGGUCCGCUAGGGUUUGCAAGUUUAGUAAACACUGCAGAUGCUGUGACAAAUGUGUGGAUGGAUUUG